GAUGAACGCUGACAGAAUGCUUAACACAUGCAAGUCGACUUGAAGCAACUUCGGUUGUGGAAAGUGGCGGACGGGUGAGUAACGCGUAAAGAACUUGCCCUUCAGUCUGGGACAACCAUUGGAAACGAUGGCUAAUACCGGAUAUUAUGGAACUCUCGCAUGGGAGGAUCAUGAAAGCUAUAUGCGCUGAAGGAGAGCUUUGCGUUCCAUUAGCUAGUUGGUGAGGUAACGGCUCACCAAGGCGACGAUGGAUAGCCGGCCUGAGAGGGUGAUCGGCCACAAGGGGACUGAGACACGGCCCUUACUCCUACGGGAGGCAGCAGUGGGGAAUAUUGGACAAUGGACCAAAAGUCUGAUCCAGCAAUUCUGUGUGCACGAUGAAGGUUUUCGGAUCGUAAAGUGCUUUCAGUUGGGAAGAAGAAAGUGACGGUACCAACAGAAGAAGCGACGGCUAAAUACGUGCCAGCAGCCGCGGUAAUACGUAUGUCGCAAGCGUUAUCCGGAUUUAUUGGGCGUAAAGCGCGUCUAGGCGGGUUCAUAAGUCUGAUGUUAAAAUGCGAGGCUCAACUCCGUAUCGCGUUGGAAACUGUGAACCUAGAGUAUCAGAGAGGUGGGCGGAACUACAAGUGUAGAGGUGAAAUUCGUAGAUAUUUGUAGGAAUGCCGAUGGAGAAGUCAGCUCACUGGAUGAAUACUGACGCUAAAGCGCGAAAAGCGUGGGUAGCAAACAGG
rnacentral:rRNA from 1 species